AUCGCUUCUCUGCCUUUUGGCUAAGAUCAAGUGUAGUAUCAAAGACAUGAGAUUUCUUACUCUGGAGAAAUGUCAGGUAGCAUUGUAAGUAAUGCAGGAAAGAUUCAUUUCUUGUGAAUAUCAUAUAAGAUGUGAUUGUAUUCUAGAGAUGUGCUUUAU
ensembl:snRNA U2 U2 spliceosomal RNA